rnacentral:misc_RNA from 1 species
UGCGGCUGGAUCCCCUCCUUUCUAGGGAGACCUAGAACGUCGACCGGGCUCCCCGAUGGCUGUAUGCCAUCGGGAACGCUGCUCAGUUUUGAGAGACCGUCGGUGGAAGAAAUCCAUCGCGCGCGCCUCGGUGGACCUUGAAAACUGCACAAGGCUAUAUGGGUAAAUUUAAUUUCGAACCCGACCGCUUCGGCGAUCGGGUUCACACCGUCAAGAUGUUAAGGGCUUACGGUGGAUGCCUUGGCA